UUUUCCCUGCGGUGUGCGUGAUCGAGAUAAUGUCUUGAGCCAACGCUCGAUUCCAUGAGGCGCAACGUCCUUUUCGGGGAUGAUGACUUUAGCGGUCGACUGAACCAAGAGAAGGCGAUCCUCAACUUAAUGGGAACGGGUCAAGACUUUCAAGACACGACAUUCGCGGGGAAUUU
rnacentral:other from 1 species